rnacentral:rRNA from 1 species
UACGUAGGGUCCAAGCGUUGUCCGGAUUUAUUGGGCGUAAAGAGCUCGUAGGCGGUUCCGUAAGUCGGAUGUGAAAACUCAGGGCUCAACCCGGAGACGCCAUCUGAUACUGCGGUGACUGGAGUCUGGUAGGGGAUCACGGAAUACCUGGUGUAGCGGUGAAAUGCGCAGAUAUCAGGUGGAACACCGAUGGCGAAGGCAGGUCUCUGGGCCAUAACUGACGCUGAGAAGCGAAAGCAUGGGGAGCGAACAGG